rnacentral:tRNA from 1 species
GAUUCCAUAGUCUAGAGGUUAUCAUGUCUGCUUUACACACAGGAGGUCUUUGGUUUGAAACCCAGUGGAAUCA